UGGGCAGUAUCGUUUACGAACUGCACCAAACAACCGUAAGACACUUAAAAUGAAUACUAAUAUGUUCUGCCUUGAUCAAAUUCACGACAGGGACGGAGGA
rfam:Planococcus sp. PAMC 21323, complete genome.